rnacentral:rRNA from 1 species
UACGUAGGAGGCAAGCGUUGUCCGGAAUUACUGGGUGUAAAGCGCGUGUAGGCGGCAGGCCAAGUCUGUGGUGAAAUCGCUCGGCACAACUGGGCGGGGUCCAUGGAAACUGGUCAGCUGGAGGACGGUAGAGGUGAGUGGAAUUCCCGGUGUAGUGGUGAAAUGCGCAGAUAUCAGGAGGAACACCGAUGGCGAAGGCAGGUCUCUGGGCCAUAACUGACGCUGAGAAGCGAAAGCAUGGGGAGCGAACAGG